rnacentral:rRNA from 1 species
GACGAACGCUGGCGGCGUGCUUAACACAUGCAAGUCGAGCGGGAUCCAACCGGUGGCAACACCGGGGAAGAUCUAGCGGCGAACGGGUGAGUAACACGUGAGCAACCUGCCCCGAAGACUGGGAUAACACCGGGAAACCGGUGCUAAUACCGGAUGUCGUCAUUAGGCCGCAUGACCUGAUGAUGAAAGGAUUCAUCGCUUCGGGAGGGGCUCGCGGGCUAUCAGCGUUGNGGUGGGGUAACGGCCUACCAAGGCGACGACGGCUAGCUGGUCUGAGAGGACGACCAGCCACACUGGGACUGAGACACGGCCCAGACUCCUACGGGAGGCAGCAGUGGGGAAUCUUGCGCAAUGGGCGAAAGCCUGACGCAGCAACGCCGCGUGGGGGAUGAAGGUCUUCGGAUUGUAAACCCCUUUCGGGAGGGAAGA